CGCCAUCUUACUGGGCAGCAUUGGAUGGUGUCUGGUCUCUAAUACUGCCUGGUAAUGAUGACGG
ensembl:miRNA